rnacentral:rRNA from 1 species
GAUGAACGCUAGCGGCAGGCUUAAUACAUGCAAGUCGUGGGGCAGCAUGAGUAGCAAUACUUGACGGCGACCGGCAAACGGGUGCGGAACACGUACACAACCUUCCGAUAAGUGGGGAAUAGCCCAGAGAAAUUUGGAUUAAUACCCCGUAACAUAUAGAGUAGGCAUCUUCUUUAUAUUAUAGCUUCGGCGCUUAUUGAUGGGUGUGCGUCUGAUUAGGUAGUUGGCGGGGUAACGGCCCACCAAGCCUACGAUCAGUAGCUGAUGUGAGAGCAUGAUCAGCCACACGGGCACUGAGACACGGGCCCGACUCCUACGGGAGGCAGCAGUAAGGAAUAUUGGACAAUGGGCGAAAGCCUGAUCCAGCCAUGCCGCGUGAAGGAUUAAGGUCCUCUGGAUUGUAAACUUCUUUUAUUUGGGACGAAAAAAGGGAAUUCUUUCCCACUUGACGGUACCAAGUGAAUAAGCACCGGCUAACUCCGUGCCAGCAGCCGCCGUAACAC